UACGUAGGUGGCAAGCGUUGUCCGGAAUUACUGGGCGUAAAGCGCGUGUAGGCGGCUAAGUAAGUCGGGCGUGAAAUCCCACGGCUCAACCGUGGAACUGCUGGGUAUACUGGCGAUCUUGAGCCACCUAGGGGCGAGCGGAACAAGCGGUGGAGCGGUGAAAUGCGUAGAUAUCGCUUGGAACGCCAAUGGUGAAAACAGCUCGCUGGGGGUGUGCUGACGCUGAGACACGAAAGCCAGGGGAGCGAACGGG
rnacentral:rRNA from 1 species